UCCUUGGUGGCUCAGAUGGUAAAGAGUCUGCCUGCAAUGCAGAAGACCCAGGUUCGAUCCCUGGGUCAGGAA
rnacentral:tRNA from 1 species